CACGUAGGGGGCAAGCGUUGUCCGGAAUCAUUGGGCGUAAAGAGCGUGUAGGCGGCCCGGUAAGUCCGCUGUGAAAGUCCAGGGCUCAACCCUGGGAUGCCGGUGGAUACUGUCGGGCUCGAGUCCGGAAGAGGAGUGUGGAAUUCCUGGUGUAGCGGUGAAAUGCGCAGAUAUCAGGAGGAACACCAAUGGCGAAGGCAGCACUCUGGGACGUGACUGACGCUGAGACGCGAAAGCGUGGGGAGCAAACAGG
rnacentral:rRNA from 1 species